GACGAACGCUGGCGGCGUGCUUAACACAUGCAAGUCGAACGGAAAGGCCCUGCUUGCAGGGUACUCGAGUGGCGAACGGGUGAGUAACACGUGGGUGAUCUGCCCUGCACUUCGGGAUAAGCCUGGGAAACUGGGUCUAAUACCGGAUAGGAGCCAUUUUUAGUGUGAUGGUUGGAAAGUUUUUUCGGUGUAGGAUGAGCUCGCGGCCUAUCAGCUUGUUGGUGGGGUAAUGGCCUACCAAGGCGGCGACGGGUAGCCGGCCUGGGAGGGUGGACGGCCACAUUGGGACUGAGAUACGGCCCAGACUCCUACGGGAGGCAGCAGUGGGGAAUAUUGCACAAUGGGCGGAAGCCUGAUGCAGCGACGCCGCGUGGGGGAUGACGGCCUUCGGGUUGUAAACUCCUUUCGCUAGGGACGAAGCUUUUUGUGACGGUACCUAGAUAAGAAGCACCGGCUAACUACGUG
rnacentral:rRNA from 1 species